rnacentral:rRNA from 1 species
AAAGAUAUCUGGUUGAUCCUGCCUGAACUGAUGUGUUUAUUUCAAAGAUUAAGCCAUGCAUGUAUAAGUUUAAUCGUUUAUCGAGAAACCGCGAACGGCUCAUUACAAUGGCCAUUAUUUACUUGAUCUUGAUUGUCUAAAUGGAUAACUGUGGAAAAGCUAGAGCUAAUACAUGCACUAAAGCUUUGUCCUUACGGAAAAGCGCAUUUAUUAGAACAAAACCACGCGGCUUCGGCUGCUUCUUGUUGACUCAGAAUAACUUAGCUGACCGCAUGGCCUUGUGCCGGCGGCGUGUCUUUCAAGCGUCCACUUUAUCAACUUGACGGGAGCAUAAUCGACUCCCGUGGUGGUGACGGAUAACGGAGGAUCAGGGUUCGACUCCGGAGAAGGGGCCUGAGAAAUGGCCACUACGUCUAAGGAUGGCAGCAGGCGCGCAAAUUACCCACUCUCGGCUCGAGGAGGUAGUGACGAGAAAUAACGAGACUGUUCUCUUUGAGGCCGGUCAUCGGAAUGGGUACAAUUUAAACCCUUUAACGAGUAUCAAGCAGAGGGCAAGUCUGGUGCCAGCAGCCGCGGUAAUUCCAGCUCUGCAAAUACAUAGAAUUAUUGCUGCGGUUAGAAAGCUCAUAGUUGGAUUCGUAUCGAUACCUUGGAACCCUUCGGGUGUCUCUAGGUGUUAUCGAUUUAUCGUAAUGUUCGGUUUUGAGUCCUUAACAGGAUUCUUAACAGGCAUUGCAAGUUUACUUUGAACAAAUCAGAGUGCUUCAAACAGGCGUUUUCGCUUGAAUGAUCGUGCAUGGAAUAAUAGAAAAUGAUUUCGGUUCAGUUUUAUUGGUUUUACGGACUGAGAUAAUGGUUAACAGAGACAAACGGGGGCAUUUGUAUGGUCCCGUGAGAGGUGAAAUUCUUGGACCGUGGCCAGACAAACUACAGCGAAAGCAUUUGCCAAGAAUGUUUUUAUUAAUCAAGAACGAAAGUCAGAGGUUCGAAGGCGAUCAGAUACCGCCCUAGUUCUGACCGUAAACGAUGCCAACUAGCGAUCCGCCGAUGGAAAUUAUAUUGCCUUGGUGGGGAGCUUCCCGGAAACGAAAGUCUUCCGGUUCCGGGGGAAGUAUGGUUGCAAAGCUGAAACUUAAAGGAAUUGACGGAAGGGCACCACCAGGAGUGGAGCCUGCGGCUUAAUUUGACUCAACACGGGGAAACUCACCCGGCCCGGACACUGUGAGGAUUGACAGAUUGAUAGCUUUUUCAUGAUUCAGUGGAUGGUGGUGCAUGGCCGUUCUUAGUUCGUGGAGUGAUUUGUCUGGUUUAUUCCGAUAACGAGCGAGACUCUAACCUACUAAAUAGUUGGUACAUACUCUUAGUGUAUACAGCUUCUUAGAGGGAUUUGCGGCGUUCAGCCGAAAGAAAUUGAGCAAUAACAGGUCUGUGAUGCCCUUAGAUGUCCGGGGCUGCACGCGCGCUACACUGGCAAAAUCAACGUGCUUGUCCUACCCUGAAAGGGGCGGGUAAACCAUUGAAAAUUUGCCGUGAUUGGGAUCGGAAAUUGCAAUUAUUUUCCGUGAACGAGGAAUUCCAAGUAAGUGCGAGUCAUCAGCUCGCGUUGAUUACGUCCCUGCCCUUUGUACACACCGCCCGUCGCUGCCCGGGACUGAGCCAUUUCGAGAAAUUUGGGGACCGUUGAUUUAAUUUUUCUAAAAUUACUUUGAUGGAAACCAAUUUAAUCGCAGUGGCUUGAACCGGGCAAAAGUCGUAACAAGGUAGCUGUAGGUGAACCUGCUGCUGGAUCAUUACUUUA